UACGUAGGGACCAAGCGUUGUUCGGAUUUACUGGGCGUAAAGGGCGCGUAGGCGGCUUAACAAGUCACUUGUGAAAUCUCCGGGCUUAACUCGGAACGGCCAAGUGAAACUGUCAAGCUAGAGUGCAGAAGGGGCAAUCGGAAUUCUUGGUGUAGCGGUGAAAUGCGUAGAUAUCGGGAGGAACAUCAGUGGCGAAGGCGGCUACCUGGCCCAAUACUGACACUCAGGUGCGACAGCGUGGGGAGCAAACAGG
rnacentral:rRNA from 1 species